AUCGGUUCAUUCGAUGAGACCUGUACCCGAUUUUACACGGCUGAGAUUGUGUCUGCUUUAGAGUACUUGCACGGCAAGGGCAUCAUUCACAGGGACCUUAAACCGGAAAACAUUUUGUUAAAUGAAGAUAUGCACAUCCAGAUCACAGAUUUUGGAACAGCAAAAGUCUUAUCCCCAGAGAGCAAACAAGACCCUCAGACCAGCUGCCAUUGCGCCUCCCACUGUGCUGCGGACUCCAGACGCUCUCCUGAGGGCCACAGCUGCCUUGAGCUUGCCGCCAUUCUAGCUUAGGCUGGAUCACCCACCGCCGGCACAGAGAGGAGCUGCCUUCAAGAUGGAUUUUCCUGCAUGACGGAAAGUGGAAUUUGCCCAAUAAAAGAGAGAGUCCCCAUUCUCCCGUCACCAAGAGCAGCUCUUCCCAUCUUCCCAUGGUUUAUUUUGGUCUUUUCCAGAUUGGCAUUCAUUUAGGAUUGGCUAUGAUGCAUGGGGCUGGGGAGAAUUACUGCUUAUUGUAAAAAAUCCACUCGGUGCUAGUGACCUGAUGCCCAGCAUCCUCAGUCGGUUUUCCCUGUAAAAAUUCCAGUAGGUAUCGCUAAAAUACAAAUCUUUUUAAAAGCGUAA
rnacentral:sRNA from 1 species